rnacentral:rRNA from 1 species
AUUGAACGCUGGCGGCAGGCCUAACACAUGCAAGUCGAACGGUAACAGAAAGCAGCUUGCUGCUUUGCUGACGAGUGGCGGACGGGUGAGUAAUGUCUGGGAAACUGCCUGAUGGAGGGGGAUAACUACUGGAAACGGUAGCUAAUACCGCAUAACGUCGCAAGACCAAAGAGGGGGACCUUCGGGCCUCUUGCCAUCGGAUGUGCCCAGAUGGGAUUAGCUAGUAGGUGGGGUAAAGGCUCACCUAGGCGACGAUCCCUAGCUGGUCUGAGAGGAUGACCAGCCACACUGGAACUGAGACGCGGUCCAGACUCCUACGGGAGGCAGCAGUGGGGAAUAUUGCGCAAUGGGCGCAAGCCUGAUGCAGCCAUGCCGCGUGUAUGAAGAAGGCCUUCGGGUUGUAAAGUACUUUUAGCGGGGAGGAAGGGAGUAAAGUUAAUACCUUUGCUCAUUGACGUUACCCGCAGAAGAAGCACCGGCUAACUACGUG